GUACGUCGGGGAGUUGAUCUCGGACGCGGAGGCCGACGUGCGCGAGGACGAUUCCUACCUGUUCGACCUGGACAACAAGGACGGCGAGGUGUACUGCAUCGACGCGCGUUACUACGGCAACGUCAGCCGCUUCAUCAACCACCUGUGCGACCCCAACAUCAUCCCGGUGCGGGUGUUCAUGCUGCACCAGGACCUGCGCUUCCCCCGCAUCGCCUUCUUCAGCAGCCGCGCCAUCCGCGCCGGCGAGGAGCUGGGGUUCGACUACGGCGACCGGUUCUGGGACAUCAAGAGCAAAUACUUCACGUGCCAGUGCGGCUCCGAGAAGUGCAAGCACUCGGCCGAGGCGGAGCCGGCGCCGGCGCCGGGCCGGGCGCCGCGGCCCGACGGGGCC